UUUCUACUUAUCGGGGGCACUAUAACAUUGUCCUUCAGAGGCGAAUUUCACAAUGUCAAUGCUUUUAACUGAUUUCUUUGAUGAAUUAGGUUAGGAAUUUCUUGUUUUCUGUACUAUGUUAAUCCUCUAGGGUUAUUUCUUCUAGUGUUUCUGGUGGAACUCUCUCAAGUUCAGUUGUUUUCGUUACCUUCUCUAUUAAAGUUUGUCUAUUUCCCUUUGCUCUGUCAUAUAUGAUUCUUUUCAUUCUUCCUCUUAGAAUGUCUCCAGAAACUUCUGACUACAUGAUACACAUGUAAUUCCUGCUUAGUCUCUUCUUCUUUUUAGUCCUGGUUUUCCUGAAUUGGUUGCUUAGAUGGUAGUUGAUGCUCCUUUGUUGUCUCUUCGAUAUACUUAGUCCAACAUCCUGCAUUAGUUGCCCAGAUGAUAGAGUUCAAUCUCCUUUCAUUUUUACUGUUUUCUUUUCACUUCUAAACUCUUCUUCCCCUUACCCUCUUUUCAGGGUUUUUAUGAUGGAAAGUGGGGGACAGGAAGAAGAUUUGUUUUUCUACCUCUUCUGCUUUCUAGUCUGUAGGGUUAAUGUGUGUCCUUUUGUGCCAUCCUUCUGUAAUUCCUUUUGAUCCUCAUGUUCCCAUGAGUAGCUGUAACUGCUUCUAUUAGGUUUGUCCCUGCGAAAGUCAUCACUCUUUGAAGAUUUCUUACUAUAAUCGGCUUCUCACAAGUGCUGACCCAGUGAGGGAGCCAAUGGAAGAAGGAUAAUCACAUGGCUGGUUUCUUGAUUAAGCAUGAUAUGUUUUUUUUUCUUUAGGUAGUGUUAUCCAGAUACCACAAGCAGUAUCAAUUUGUAAUAAAUACUCAGUUGUGACUUGAGUUUGAUGGCUAGAAACAAUUUUCCAUAUGAUGGAUGGGUGAUCCCCAUAAUCUUAGUGUAAGUUACUCUACUAGCUGAUGCCCUUCACCAAGGUUAGUGAAAAAUUCAUGAGUGGCUCCUUUCACAUA